rnacentral:rRNA from 1 species
AGUGAACGCUGGCGGUAGGCCUAACACAUGCAAGUCGAACGGCAGCACAGUAAGAGCUUGCUCUUACGGGUGGCGAGUGGCGGACGGGUGAGGAAUACAUCGGAAUCUACUUUUUCGUGGGGGAUAACGUAGGGGAACUUACGCUAAUACCGCAUACGACCUACGGGUGAAAGCAGGGGAUCUUCUGACCUUGCGCGAUUGAAUGAGCCGAUGUUGGAUUAGCUAGUUGGCGGGGUAAAGGCCCACCAAGUCGACGAUCCGUAGCUGGUCUGAGAGGAUGAUAGGCCACACUGGAACUGAGACACGGUCCAGACUCCUACGAGAGGCAGCAGUGGGGAAUAUUGGACAAUGGGCGCAAGCCUGAUCCAGCCAUACCGCGUGGGUGAAGAAGGCCUUCGGGUUGUAAAGCCCUUUUGUUGGGAAAGAAAAGCAGCAGGUUAAUACCCCGCUGUUCUGACGGUACCCAAAGAAUAAGCACCGGCUAACUUCGUG